AGGGUUCGAUUAUGGCUCAGGAUGAACGCUGGCGGCGUGCUUAACACAUGCAAGUCGAACGAACCUUCGGGUUAGUGGCGGACGGGUGAGUAACGCGUGAGAAUCUGCCCUCAGGAGGGGGACAACAGCUGGAAACGGCUGCUAAUACCCCAUAUGCCGCGAGGUGAAAUGAAUUUCGCCUGAGGAUGAGCUCGCGUCUGAUUAGCUAGUUGGUGUAGGUAAUGGCUCACCAAGGCAUCGAUCAGUAGCUUUUCUGAGAGAGUAUGAAUUCAGGCCACACUGUGACUGAGACACGGUCCAGACUCCUACGGGAGGCAGCAGUUGGGAAUUUUCGGCAAUGGGCGAAAGCCUGACGGAGCAUCGCCGCGUGAGGGAUGAAGGCCUCUGGGCUGUAAACCUCUUUUAUCAAGGAAGAAGAUCUGACGGUACUUGAUGAAUAAGCCACGGCUAAUUCCGUGCCAGCAGCCGCGGUGAUACGGGAGUGGCAAGCGUUAUCCGGAAUUAUUGGGCGUAAAGCGUCCGCAGGCGGCCCUUCAAGUCUGCUGUUAAAAAGUGGAGCUUAACUCCAUCAUGGCAGUGGAAACUGUUGGGCUUGAGUGUGGUAGGGGCAGAGGGAAUUCCCGGUGUAGCGGUGAAAUGCGUAGAUAUCGGGAAGAACACCAGUGGCGAAGGCGCUCUGCUGGGCCAUCACUGACGCUCAUGGACGAAAGCCAGGGGAGCGAAAGGGAUUAGAUACCCCUGUAGUCCUGGCCGUAAACGAUGAACACUAUGUGUCGGGGGAAUCGACCCCCUCGGUGUCGUAGCCAACGCGUUAAGUGUUCCGCCUGGGGGAGUACGCACGCAAGUGUGAAACUCAAAGGAAUUGACGGGGGCCCGCACAAGCGGUGGAGUAUGCGGUUUAAUUCGAUGCAACGCGAAGAACCUUACCAGGGUUUGACAUCCUGCGAAUCUUCUUGGAAACAGGAGAGUGCCUUCGGGAACGCAGUGACAGGUGGUGCAUGGCUGUCGUCAGCUCGUGUCGUGAGAUGUUGGGUUAAGUCCCGCACCGAGCGCAACUCACGGUCUUUAGUUGGCAGCAUUUAGUUGGGCACUCUAGAAGAGACUGCCGGUGAUAAAUCGGAGGAAUGUGUGGAUGACGUCAAGUCUAUCAUAGUCUCUUACAUCCCUGGGCUACACACGUACUACAAUGCUACGGACAAAGGGCAGCAAGUUCGCGAGGACAAGCAAAUCCCAUAAACCGUGGCUCAGUUCAGAUCGUAGGCUGCAACUCGCCUACGUGAAGGCGGAAUCGCUAGUAAUCGCAGGUCAGCAUACUGCGGUGAAUACGUUCCCGGGCCUUGUACACACCGCCCGUCACACCAUGGAAGUUGGCCACGCCCGAAGCCGUUACUCCAACCCUUGUGGAGGAGGACGUCGAAGGUGGGGCUGAUGACUGGGGUGAAGUCGUAACAAGGUAGCC
rnacentral:rRNA from 1 species